UACGUAGGGUGCGAGCGUUGUCCGGAAUUACUGGGCGUAAAGAGCUCGUAGGUGGUUUGUCGCGUUGUCCGUGAAAACUCACAACUCAAUUGUGGGCGUGCGGGCGAUACGGGCAGACUGGAGUACUGCAGGGGAGACUGGAAUUCCUGGUGUAGCGGUGGAAUGCGCAGAUAUCAGGAGGAACACCGGUGGCGAAGGCGGGUCUCUGGGCAGUAACUGACGCUGGAGGAGCGAAAAGCGUGGGGAGCGAACAG
rnacentral:rRNA from 1 species